UAGCGUAGGGUGCGAGCGUUUAAAUUCGGAAGUUACUGGGACGUAAAGCGUGCGCAGGCGGUUUUGUAAGUCAAGCAUGUGAAAUCCCCCGGGCUCAACCUUUGAAAGCCGGAUGGAUACUGGUGGGGCUAGAGUGUGUCAGAGGGGGGUAGAAUUCCACGUGUAGCAGUGAAAUGCGUAGAUAUGUGGAGGAACACCGAUGGCGAAGGCAGCCCCCUGGGAGUAACACUGACGCUCAUGCACGAAAGCGUGGGGAGCAAACAGG
rnacentral:rRNA from 1 species